rnacentral:rRNA from 1 species
GACGGAAGGUGCAAGCGUUGCGCGGAAUCACUGGGCGUAAAGGGUGCGUAGGCGGCCGUGCAAGUCUGGCGUGAAAGCCCCGGGCUCAGCCCGGGAAGUGCGCUCGAAACUGCGCGGCUCGAGUGCCGGAGGGGAGAGUGGAAUUCCUGGUGUAGCGGUGAAAUGCGCAGAUAUCAGGAGGAACACCGGUGGCGAAGGCGGGUCUCUGGGCAACAACUGACGCUGAGGAGCGAAAGCGUGGGGAGCGAACAGG